UACGGGGGGUGCAAGCGUUGUUCGGAAUUACUGGGCGUAAAGGGCUCGUAGGCGGCCAACUAAGUCGGACGUGAAAUCCCCAGGCUCAACCUGGGAACUGCGUCCGAUACUGGAUGGCUUGAAUCCGGGAGAGGGAUGCAGAAUUCCAGGUGUAGCGGUGAAAUGCGUAGAUAUCUGGAGGAACACCGGUGGCGAAGGCGGCGUCCUGGACCAACACUGACGCUGAGGAGCGAAAGCCAGGGGAGCAAACGGG
rnacentral:rRNA from 1 species